UUGGAGGGGUUGAUUUUGUUGACAAUAAUAUUAAACAUUUAGAAAACAUUAUAAGAAAGAACUCUAAAAAUACAAAUGCUAUUAGAUCAUGAUCUUAAACUAUGCCUACUUGUAGAUCCCAUUAAUUUAAUGGUUGAUAUGUAUUUUUAAAAAAACUUUUAUUAUAUUUUCUUCAUGUCUAGAAGAACGAUGGAGUCACUUUCCACCUUCAAGCCCUGGAAACUCAUGUCUAUUGGAAAUAGGAUCACUUUCCCUCAUGGUCACUAUCACAGGCUUAUAUGGCCACUGGUUCUGCACGGUUUGCCCAGUUCUUCGAGAACCCAGCCAUUACUAAUUACAGAACAGGGGCGAAGGCCAAUGUGGUAGGGUUCGCGCUAGAAGACGCAGCAUUACUUAAUGAACAAGCAUAAGAG